GCAGUCUAUCGGUCGUCUGACUCGAAGGCUGUCACUUGGGGCUGGCGUCGCGUUGGUAUGUAUUCGGCUGUGUAACUUAACUUCUGUAAUUUUCGGUAAUUAGUAUAGUCUCUUAUUCUUGCUUGCGCGUUGUGGCCGCACUUUUAAUUUUGGAUUUUUGCCAUGUUUAGUAAUGUUUGUAAGUCUUCUUGGACCCUUCAGGUCACUGCUUAAUUUAAUUCUUUGCUUUAGUUUCUUUUGCUCAUGCCGAGUAUUACCGGUAGCUUAUGUAAUAGUGUUUUUCUGCGGUUGUAUAUGGGCAUGCCAUGAUGGCUUUGGACACUUCUUGUCAAGCCGUGUCGUAACGGAAAUAGUAAUUGUAUGUAAGUGUAAUUUCUUUCUUUCUUGUUGUUGCCUAGCGGCCCAUAUGAUUUGUGCUACGUUAGACGCGUCGUCAGUUGGCCCCAUUUAUCGCAACAUUGUUUGAACUUGUAUCUGUGUAAAGUAUUCCCGCGGGAAACGACAUAUUAUAUGCAUUGUAUGCUAAAUUUGUUACUAAUAAAUGGCCUUGCUUGUUAUUUGGAAUAUGGACUUUACUUCUUGCAGCACCAGCAAAUAUCUGCCGUGGGUCUUAACGGAAAGACCCCUGUUAUUUCUCCAUUUUCAGUUCUAUCCCAGUAGGUGAGGCUACAACUUCUGCGCUACUCUGCUUCGGCAAUGGUUUUGCUGUGUUUUGCUUGUUUUCUUUCAUGACCAUGAGUGGCUCGGGAGUCAGCUGGAUCUACUGGCUUCACCGCGAAGAGCUGAUACGGUAUGUCGAAGAGAACCAGCUGCCUGCCUCAGUGAGCGACACCGUAGCUGACAAGUGCGCCCGGCUCGUUCAAUUCAUACACAAGUUUGGAGCACCAUCCUUUUUCCCUGUUACCCUUGCUCUCUGUGCCCGACUUCCGCCAGCGAUCUUCAGCUUCACCUCACCGAGAGACGUCUCCGUGGGACCUUCCGUUCGUCGCAUCUCCCUACUGGAGGUACUUGCCUGUGAGAGCCCAUCGUGCUACUGCCCAUCGUGCUACCAUGAACUUACCUGGCGGCUUCCUCGUCGUGUGGAGGCUCGAUGCUGUCUCGCCGCUUCUGGGUCUUGGAGAGGGACCGUGUCGAUUCCGGCUGAGUGCUUCCCACACCGCAGUGAGUCCAUUGCUGCCCCUGGCCCUUGCUUGACGGGCCCUGGACAUCGUAGCUGACCCCAUCGUCAGCCUGCUAAGGCACUGUGACUUGGUGCUCCCUGCUGGAGUCCCCUCCCAUGCCUGGGUGGUUGCGACUCGCAGGACAGCCCUGCUACGAGCCCUUGUUCUGGGCUGAACAUCACCUUCAUAUCUGAACUUCUUACUCCGUACUCUGUAUCAGCCGCUGGCUGCUGUCUACCGCUGUUCCGAAGACCUGCGUAGCGUGUGCCUACGUCCGAAGCCAUCUCGUUGAUCGCCGCGGCGAUCCUAAAGCUUGCUGUUUGAUGCUGUCUCCAGUCUCCAGUCUUUCAACGUCAUGAACUAUCUUCAUCGUGUGGAUCUUCAAGCUCUCCAGGCAGGAACAAUUUAGGGAGGGGGGUUUAAGCAGUGCGGGCACUGCUUAGCGUUCCUUCCCCUCCUUUCCCCUCCCCUCUCCACCUUUCCCCUUCCUCACCAUCUUCCCCUUCCUAACCCCCCUCUUCCGCCCUUCUCCACCGCGCCACCAGCGCACUCUGCCGUGUAUUAUUCCCGGCCUAUAUAACCUCGGCUUCCGGGCUAUUUGCUGCAGUCUAUCGGUCGUCUGACUCGAAGGCUGUCACUUGGGGCUGGCGUCGCGUUGGUAUGUAUUCGGCUGUGUAACUUAACUUCUGUAAUUUUCGGUAAUUAGUAUAGUCUCUUAUUCUUGCUUGCGCGUUGUGGCCGCGCUUUUAAUUUUGGAUUUUUGCCAUGUUUAGUAAUGUUUGUAAGUCUUCUUGGACCCUUCAGGUCACUGCUUAAUUUAGUUCUUUUCUUUAGUUUCUUUUGCUCAUGCCGAGUAUUACCGGUAGCUUAUGUAAUAGUGUUUUUCUGCGGUUGUAUAUGGGCAUGCCAUGAUGGCUUUGGACACUUCUUGUCAAGCCGCGUCGUAACGGAAAUAGUAAUUGUAUGUAAGUGUAAUUUCUUUCUUUCUUGUUGUUGCCUAGCGGCCCAUAUGAUUUGUGCUACGUUAGACGCGUCGUCAGUUGGCCCCAUUUAUCGCAACAUUGUUUGAACUUGUAUCUGUGUAAAGUAUUCCCGCGGGAAACGACAUAUUAUAUGCAUUGAAUGCUAAAUUUGUUACUAAUAAAUGGCCUUACUUGU